UUAGCCCACAGUCAGCACUCAGCCAGAAUGUCUGCAUAGAGAACAAAGCGGAUUGCCUCGACAAUGGCUGUAUUCUGGGCACGUUGCUAAUGCAGGUAAACACGGCAGGGCCGGGCCUCACUUCUCUGGGGCAAGAAACACCCCAGGACUGGAAGCCACGAGGGCCUCUGAUUGCGUCGUCCACCCGUGCCCUCUUCUGGACGGUUCCCUUCACAAAGAGGAAGCCCAUGAAUGGCCUUUGGUGACCUGAGAAGUGUCAGCCUGCCUUCUUCACGGAGCUCGAGAAUUAGCACGUGCUGAAGGCCAGCAAGCCGAAUCAAAGAAAUUGUCCACUUGGAAGGCACAGGUGCAUUUUCCCAAGGAGGCGUGGUACAGAAUGGUUCCAUCCCUAUGGAGAGAGAAGGGUCAAGAAGAUGGAACAUGACAUCCAGAAGCAGGUGGCUAGAGGAGCUCUACAAGGCACCAUCCAGGAAAGGAACAAGGCAAAGAUUGAGAUGCUCAUAGAAGCCAGAAAAGAAAUCUGCCUGAAAUUCAUAUCAGGAGUUGGAGGGCACCCAACGGUGACAGGGACAACUGCACACAGGGGACCAGGAGGAAAUCAUCACUCUCCUGGCGGAUGGAUGUGGUGCAUCUUAACUUUUCCCCACUCGUGAACUUCACAGAAUCACAGCAAGUUUGAUGGUGCUGUCCGUUGGCUGUUUUCUCCCAGAGUCACUCACUCCUACAUCUGCAUUCAGCGGAGGGUUGGCUGGCUGGAAAAUCCAAGAUGACCUCACUCACACAUCUGGCAGUUACUGCUGGCUGUUAGCUGGGCUUCUUCUGUUCGUCUCCUCCUGGUUUCUCACCCUCCAGUAGGCCUUGGUCUUUCUCAGAGCAUGGCGAUCUCGGGAUUCCAAAGCAUGAAAGUAGAAGCUUCAAAGCCCUAUUAAGAUCUGGCCAUUGAUGUCACCCAAUGCCAUUUCCAUCCUAUGGUCAAUGUCUUCUAAACCCUUCGUGGUUAUCAUGCCGGGUUGUCCACACAAGGCCUCAGCUCCAUGGAAAAGGAACCCACUAAGCUAUUUUUAGGUGCAGGAGCAUCUUGAGGAGGCCAUGGGCUGGAUUCCACCCUCUGCUGCUCCCCAGCUCAAUGACAUCAGCCCAGCAACUCUGUAGGCCACGGUUUUCUUGGGAUGAUGAAACACCACUCUCAGGAUUCAGGAGUGACUUAAAUGAGUUCAGGAAAAAGCUACUUAGCACACCUCCUGCUUCAAGAGAGAGAACGCCUGACGCUCCAACAUAUCCGGUGCCAACCAACAGGCAGCGUUGGCCACCGGCUCCGACGCAUCAAUCCCCUCUCCUCACAAUCGCUCAAAGAAAAGCUUGUCUUCUGCACGGUACAUUAGGCAACUGCAGAAGAAGAUACGAGAAGCUUUGAAAUGCAUUUCCCAAACCGUUCCACAUGAUGUUCCUGGAUGUUUGGUUAAUAAAAUAUUCCAUGGUCAAAUAA